rnacentral:rRNA from 1 species
AUUGAACGCUGGCGGCAGGCCUAACACAUGCAAGUCGAACGAGUGGCGGACGGGUGAGAAAUGUCUGGGAAACUGCCCGAUGGAGGGGGAUAUCUACUGGAAACGGUGGCUAAUACCGCAUAUCCCAGGAUGUGCCCCGAUGGGAUUAGCUCGUAGGGGUGGUAACGGCGCACCAAGGCGACGAUCCCCAGCUGGUCUGAGAGGAUGACCAGCCACACUGGAACUGAGACACGGUCCAGACUCCUACGGGAGGCAGCAGUGGGGAAUAUUGCACAAUGGGCGCAAGCCUGAUGCAGCCAUGCCGCGUGUAUGAAGAAGGCCUUCGGGUUGUAAAGUACUUUCAGCGGGGAGGCGUUACCCGCAGAAGAAGCACCGGCUAACUCCGUGCCAGCAGCCGCGGUAAUUC